CUGAUGUUUUAGGCACUGGGUAUUGGCACAUUCACCACCACUUCCGUUCCUUAUCUACCACCACAAUGUCAAGUUGGUUAGCUACUACUUGCUUGUCUAUCUGGAUCUGAAAGUCUCACAGGAUCUUAGUCAACUACCCUUUGUGGGAUCUCCCAUCUGGACUUAGGCAGGUCCAGCCCAUAUUCUGUGCAGAUAUUUUGGUACACAAUGACAAGGACCUAGACAACUUGGUUGUCUAGGUCCCUCGACC